AGGGGGAAUUUGCGGAUCCUGGGCUGUGUCCUCCGGGGCCCUGGGCUCUGGGGCCUGCGUUGCUGGAAUCUCGUUCUGGGCAGGGCAGCCCCCU
rnacentral:pre_miRNA from 1 species